UACGUAGGGUGCAAGCGUUAAUCGGAAUUACUGGGCGUAAAGCGUGCGCAGGCGGCUUUGCAAGACAGAUGUGAAAUCCCCCGGGCUCAACCUGGGAACUGCAUUUGUGACUGCAUAGCUAGAGUCUGUCAGAGGGGGGGUGGAAUUCCACGUGUAGCAGUGAAAUGCGUAGAGAUGUGGAAGAACACCGAUGGCGAAGGCAGCCCCCCUGGGAUGAGACUGACGCUCAUGUACGAAAGCGUGGGGGAGCAAACAGG
rnacentral:rRNA from 1 species